UGGCAAGUUAUUAAGGGUGCAGGGCGGAUGCUUGGCACUAGGAGCCGAUGAAGGACGUGAUAAGCUGCGAUAAGCUCGGGAGUGCACGUAACUUUGGAUCCGAAGAUUCGAAUGAGGAACUCACUAGACGUAGUCUGUAUCAUAAGUGAAUAACAUAGCUUAUGAGGGAACUCAG
rnacentral:rRNA from 1 species